ensembl:lncRNA
CUUUAGAAUUACUUCUGGAAAGUACUGCCAGCCUUCCUGGGCUCCCACGCCCUCCAAAAGUACUUCCCAAGGGACCCUCUCAACCAUGGUCCUAAAGAGGUUCAAGUUUGCUCUCCGGCAGUCCAAGGUGGCAGUUCUGCUGACUCCCCUCCGUGGUUCAACAAGGAUUGAGAAAUCUAGCAUCUCACGAUCCCUUUGCCCCAGGCGGCCUCCAGCCUUGACAUCCCCCACGAGACCUUCUCUGUUAACAAACAGCAGGAUUUUGCUUGCCCUUGCUGGCUGCCUCACCAGCUGUGUCAGGAAGUGAUCUCCCACACACUCGAGGAACCUCUGGGACUGUUCCCUAUCUGCUGUAUUAUAAAUCCAGCAGAUGUCUGGGACUUUGCAAUAGCCCACAAGAACAAGGGGAGAGACCUUGAGACCUCCUGCGGCUGUGUCUAAAGUGUCUUGCCCACCUCUUCAUCCUGGUUGGGUGGCCUGUAGCACACUCCCACGAUAAGGUCAGUCUUACUGGCCUUUGCUUUUCUUCUGACCUAGAAGCUCUCAACCCUAUCAUGGCCAUCGUUCAUUUGCAUACAUUCCCAUUCUUUCUUAACGUAGAGGGCUGCACCACUGCCUUUCCUGCCUUGCCUCUCUCUUUUGCAAAGUCGCUAGCCAUCCAUCACAGCACUCCAGCUGUGCAUUGUGAUCAACUUAAAAAAGGAACGCAUGAAGAAUAGCUUUGUUUGCAUUCUGGUAACUGCUGAGGCUUUGGCUGAGGACAGCUUUCAGCUGCACCUGAACUAGGCUGGAUUUGUCUCCUGCUCUCCAUAGGCAGAGAAGUGCCUCCAGGCAGUUUGGAGAACUGCUGGCUCAGGCUUCACCUCCACUAGUCCAAGUUCAGUCACUUUCCUCUGCAGAACCUGCAUCAAGCCGUGGUUUUAAGCUGCAGAUGGAGUUCUUCUCGCAGGACUGAAGUGCUGAAGCUCUCUGAGCUCCGAAGGCACCCUGAACUCAUUCAAGAUGUGGCCGUUGUAUGAAGUAAGUUUGUGGUUGCUGUGAAGCUGGGAGGAAUGUUGACUGCCUUGGGGGUUGAGAGGCCUUGCAGCAAGAUGUGGAGAAAUGUGAGGGCGGUCCCCAUCUGCAUGAAGAAGAGCAAGCGCUGCGUUCUGCACCUGGGAUGCGGCAGCCCUGGCUAAUGUCUGCGUGUGGAUGAAUCGCAACAGGAUCCUGGGAAUUUUUAAGAAAGGUAGGAAGGAGGACCCGGGGAACUACAGGCCGGUGAGCCUCACCUCUGUGCCUGGGAAGAUCAUGGAGCAGAUCCUCCUACAAGAGGAAGAAACUUACAGGAGAAAAAAACUACAGGUGAGCCUAACGUAUUAAUUAACUGAGAACAAAACGUUAGGAAGGACAAGACUGUGCUUGAGUUUUCCCAGUAAUGAGUGCCUGAAUUCCAGAGUGGGUUUCUGAAUCUUUGUUUCAUCCUACGGGUCCUAUGAAGGACUGUGCCUUCAUUGUAAUCUGCAUCAGAAAUGCCUCCUUUCUCAGGGCAAAUCCAGCCAUUGGAUUAAGGGCAAAAAUAAUGUGCAGAGUAGGACUUCUAUAGUACUCAUAUUAUAAACUCUAAAGACAGACUAUAAUACUCUAUAUUACAGGGACUCUAAAAACAGACUGCUUCAACACACUUGAAAUCAGCACACCGUUGAAUCUGAUGCAAAGAGAUGCACGUUUGGUUGUUUUGUUUUGUUUGUUUUUAAAUCUCUUUGAACAGCCAGAUCAAGUAGCUGAGAAGCCUCGUUCCAGCUUUUCUGUAAAACUUGAGUCAUGAGGAGUGCUUUCUCUAACAGUGGUAGUGUUGGGACACACGCCUCUCUUUUUGCCACAGACUGAGCAUUGUUCUCUCUCCUUCUUCAUAUCUUGCAGGAAAGAUUGUUCACGUGUAAUGAAAAGCUAGUGUCCAGAAGAUCACUGCGGCCAGAUGCCAAUUUUGAUGCCCUCGUCAGUAAGACUUGUCCAAGCCCUGAUGUAUGUGAAGCUCAUCAGGAGGGAAUGCUAGCAAGAAUCAGCUAACACAAUAGCAGCAAGCUUUCAGUGACAGCGUUCAGGAAGGGUGGCGAUUCAGGCUGGGAGCAGAUACCUUGGUGUCACUGGAAUCCAUGGAGCUGACACAGUCCUCUGAUGGCUGGAUUUCUGCUUGCUAAGGGUAUUCCUUCUGGUUUCUUGGCUUUUCAGGUGAUUUUUGCUUUGCUUUCCUUGGCUUUUUAGUACUUCCUCCUUCUGUUAUUGCUCCUGGCUUGUUUUGCUUUGCUCUUUGGUUUUUCUUUUGUACCUUUGCCUUGCAUUGCUUGUGAAUAUUUGUUUAUUCCUUCUCUUCAGUGCUAAGCAUUGGUGAGUGUUUUUACUGUGUUUGGCUUCUUUGGUUUGCCACGAUAUACACGAGUAAAGCAAAUGAAUGGAAUGCAGUAUGGUGACUUGUUUGAAUUGCUUUGUCUUCCUCGUUUGGUUGUUUUUCCCCUGUUGCUUUUCAGUAGUGCGCCUUUUGCUUUGCUUUCCAUUGUCUUUGUGUCUGUUCUGUUGGCUCUUUGUCUUAGCUGUUCCUUUCUUUGCAUUAGCUUCUUCCUCCCAGAGGAGAGCAUUCCUUGCCUUUUCAGAGGAUGGUUCUUGGCUUUGCUUGGAGUUUCUCCCUUGCUCUUCAUUCUUGGUUGCCUUACCUGGCUUUGCCUUCCUUGUCCCCUUGCCCCGGCCUUGCUCUUCCUUUGCCUUCACUUACCUGAUGUGCUCUCUCCCUUGAUUGUUCUCUUCUGUCUGUUCCUUUCUGGCUUCUUGAACUGCAGCCUCCUCUCUGGGCUUUCCUGCCGUGCUUGAUGCAUUUGCAGCUCCUUGGAGUUUCCCAGGUGGGUCCACGCCUCCUGGGCCUCCUUGCCUCUUCCCUUGUGGUGCUCUUGUGGCUUUUUCUCCAGCUGGCUGGAUCCAUGCGGGCCUAUUGCCCCAUUUUCUCGGCAUUGGUGUAUGUGGAUUGUUCUCUGUCAUCUUCCCAGGCCUAGAUGCUGAGUUUUUGCCUCUUCCAGACUCUGUUGUCAUCUUUGCUUUUCCGUGAGAGUGUAUUCUGUUCUGUUAUCGUUGGUUGCUUGUUUUUGAAUGUGGUGUUUGUUGUUGUUUCAUUUAUUGUUAUGGGCUUUCUUUGAUGUGCGUGGGGUUUUUUGUUCUUUUUUUCAGUUUGGUGCUCUUUUUUUUUCUUUGCUGUUCCUUUCUUUGCACUGUAUUUUUUUCCUAGCAGCGUUUCUUUCCUUUCUCUUGUACUAGAAAUUGUAGCUCCUAACACUAAUCCAAAUGUAUAAACCACAAGUCUGAACUCUAAAUCACACAGGUGUAUGGGAACUGUAUAAUCACAGCCUGACCCUCUGUUUGACCACCUGAGGCGAGUGCUGAGUCAGCUGCAGGGGCACAGGUGAUGGCAGUUUCAGCUGAGUGACCGGAAGGGGUGGACCCUGGCUGCAGCCCUGCUAGACCCCAUGUAAGGGCUGACUCCCAAGGAGGAAGGAUCUCUACCUGGAGGUCACCCUUAGUGGAGCCCUUCUGCGCGCCCAGGGUACGGGUAAGCUUUUUAUGUCAUUCCUCCUUUGGAAACGCGCUCAUCUCUCUGCUCCUUUACCUGUUUGCCUUACAAUCUGUUUGCCAUACACACAGGUAAUGUUUAACCCUCCUAAUGGGUAGCCCUGAAGCCUUUUCUGUAAAUGCAACAGGGAUGGCGUUAGCCCUCAUCAAGUAAGGGCCACCCUUAGUCCUAACAGCAAAGGGUAGCCCUGAAGGAUUCCCUUUUUGGUUAUGGUUAACUCUAAUCCAAUGUGGUAACCGUUCACCUGUCACUGAAGGGAAGCCCUUCAUCCUAACCUACUAUGGUAACUCUUCAUCCUAAACGCUAGCCUCUAACAGUAACCUUUAAGCCAAUCCUUAGGGGUUUUCCUGAAGCCUUUGCACUGACUGAACUUGGUAGCAUUUCCACGUGAAGCCUUAUCUAAUGCAGUAACCCGCCAAUCUGAUGCCAAAGGGUAACGGUCCGCAGUUAGUAGUAAGACUAAAUAGUAGCACUUAACCGUAAUCCAGCAGGGGAUGAGGCCGAGCUUGUCUUCUGCCAGGGCUGCUCUCAGCCCCAGGGCACGGCGAGCGGCUGCGGGCAGUGCAUCUCCCAGCUGAGGUGCCUGUAGACAUCUGCCAGCUGUCCUUGUGGACGGCCCGUCAUCGUCAUGGAAACUGAUUGUAACAGCACAAAGGUUCCAGGAGCGUGGGUGAUGUCAGCUGUGACAUCCUCUGGGGGGCCUGGAGCCGCCCUUUUUUGGCCUUGCAGCCCAUCAAGCCAAAGCCUGCUGUCCUGCACGUGGUCCCACCGGGCAGAAACUCUUGGGACGGAGGUAGGUUCAGGGGAGGGGACAGAUGCCUGAGGGCAUUCUUUGAUUCCAUCCCGAGAGUUGUCUUUGUCUUUGUUCUUUCCAUGUCGUGUGGUUUUCCUUUGCUUUUCCUUUUGCUAUUUAACUUCUUUUCUUUCUUUUAUGCUUCUUUCUCUGUUGCUUUGCGUGGCAUUGCUUUGUUUGUUUGUUGGGGUUUUUUUUCCCUUCUUUUCAGGCCAAGCCCCAGGGGCUGCUAGGGCAAUGUCCUCACUUGGAGGGGGAGGCUGGGUUUCCCAUCUGAGGGCUUCAUGCACCAAUUGCAAGGAAAACUCAGACACAGAGCAAUGCUAAGCAAAGGCACGCCUUUUCUGAGACACUGUCUCAAGCUCCCGGAGCUCUUUUUUCCUACGAGGUAACUCCCCUGCUUUUUUCCAACUCUUAUUACAACAAGAGAGAUUUCCAUCGCUCUUACAACAGCUCGCCAAAUAAUGUUCUUACCCACAGAAGCUUUCCCUUUUCUCAGUAAGAGUCGCUCUAAUCCCGGGCUGAUUCCCUAAAACCAAGUGUAAUUUUUCUCCUUCGCAGAAACCAGUCACCAACAGAAGUUGUCCUGUUAGCCCACAUCCACCAAAAAUCCCUCAAAUACACUAUUCUUACAGCCAAACCAGACCAUUUUCUGUUCAGUUGCAGUGCACUUGCGGACCGUAUUUCUGGUCUUGUUCCUGCUGAGGUAGUGGUAAAGAAACCCCAGUCUGCCUGACAGCAAUACAUUGCUCAGAGUGAAGCUGCUGGAGCACACAAAAUGCUGUCAGGCGUCCGAGCUGAGCAACAGACUUCAUUCCUGAAUUGCACAGCUACCAGUAGAAGUGACCUCCACGCUGUUUGGCCUGUCCAAGGAGUUCACGCAGCUCUGAGUACCCCCAUUUCUACACAGAGUGGUAUCCCCCAUCGGCUAUCAGCUGCUACUGUAAGCUUUUUUUUGCUGCUUGAAGCCAGAGGGGCCAGACCCAGCUGGCCCUUAGGGACCUCCUUUGACCCAGGCCUCCAACGGAAGUGUACCACUGGUUAACCCAGAAUGGCAACUGUAGACCAAGGCUAUCACGGGCACAGUUUUCAGUUGCCCAGGGGGUGGAAGGGAUUCAGUCCAGUAAAUGAAGAUGGAACUGCUUACCCCUUUGUGAAGAAGAGGGCUCACACCAUACUAAACAAGAGCAGAAUUUGAAGCAGUGAUCCUUCCCUUGGGGCAGCCAGCCCUGAAAUGAGGUGAGGGAGGGGUGGAACCAGGCUGCCCCCCUUUGUCAUCCAGGUGAAUUGCUUCCCUCUUUUUGCUCCUGAGCAGAACAAGAUUUGAUGAGGAGGAAAGCCUGUGAAGUCCAACAAGACUGCUUUCAUACUUCCUUCCCGUUUGUGUUAGCUGGCUGUCACGGAGUGAUCUAGAUCAGUGUAUGCCUGUGGCGGGGCAGUGGGCCUGUUUUCCUGUGUUUGGCUUCCUUGCUUUGCCAUGAUGCUGUCUUGAGUUCAUGUGCUGGACUCUUGUAUUUCGUGUCUUUGUUUUGCUUUGCUCUGUUUUCCUUGUUGUUUGCCGUUCUUUUGUCAGUCUUGCUUUAUUGCUGCUCCUGUGUUGCAAUACCUUGGUUUUGUUCAGAUGUGGUGAUUGAUACUUUUCCCUUUCCCAUUCUUGGAACUCUUUUCUCCCUCCUUCAGGGUGUUCCUCUUUGUUUCUCGGCUUUUCAGGUGAUUUGGCUUUGCCUUCCUUGGCUUUUUGGAACUUGGGAAAAGGUACCGAGGUACAUGGAUAUGGAGAAGAGAAGCUCUCCUGCUGUGGCUGAGAGGUGAUCCAAAGGAGGCCUCCCGAGCAAGCACCGCAAAGGCAGCUUGCUUCUCCAGAGGCUGCAGCAUAAGCUCGUGUUCCUUGCGGAGGACUGCGUUGUGCAUCUGCAGGAGCUGCUUUGGCAUGGAGGAUUUUGUGGAGUUGCUGCCAGUUGUUGCUCGGAUGAAGUGAGGCUUUUGUCCUUGUAUCUGUGCAGGAAAGCAGUGCGGAGGGAACGUGUGUGGUGAGAUGCUGAGGAGAGAUUGCCUCCCUUGCCCCAGCAGGCUGCUUGUGUCCUGGUGAUGCACGGUGACGAGAAGGCUGCUGUUCUGAACAGCACAAGGCAACAGAGAUGUUGACAGCAGCGAUGGUGAUGGAGAUGUUGAGAGUGGAGGAGCUCUUGGCUCGCUGCAGCCACCCCAGCAUUCCCGGAGCUCCCUGCUGGCCCCGGAGGAGUCCGAGUGCUCUGUGCUGGAAGAAGAGGAGUCGAGGCUGCUGGAGACAUCAGGGCUCAGUGGCUCUGUGGCAGUGAUGCGCUGCAUCAGCUCUUGCGUUUGGCAGCUGUUUGCAGUGGCUUUGGUCCCCUCUCUUGUGACACCGGGCAGGUCCUGCUUGUGCUGGGGGACCUCCAGAGCACUCUCCAGAGCCGCUUCUGAAAAAGCAAGAACAUCCCCCCGAACGAUGAUGGCAGCCUUCCCACAGCCACUCGGUGCAGGCAGCCACCUCUGGGGGUCACCUCUGCGGAGCACAGUCUCACCGUCAAUCCAGCUCUGCUGCCCCUCCGAGAGAGACUCACCGUUGUUGAUCCACGUGAGCAGGUCAUCGAUGUCUGCGUCGUCGUCCAGGAUGCCUGUCUUGGAUGUCACUUCUGGAAAAGGCAGAAAAUGCCCAGUGGGGCAAUGCCAGCUUUCUUUCCCACACCCAGUGGGGGUGGGUGCGUGGGUGGCUGGGUGGGUGGCAGCAACCCCCCGCCAGCUCUGCUGCCCCCAAACUCACCGUCGUUGAGCCAUGCCAGGAGAUGCUGGAUGUCCGCCACGUCCUCCGGGAUGUCUGCGCUCGCUGUGGCUGCUGGAAGAGCAAGGACAUCCCCAGUGGGG